rnacentral:rRNA from 1 species
UGCGUAGACGGUAUGUUAAGUUCGUUGUUAAAGGUUUCAGCCUAACUGGAAUAUUGCGAUGAAAACUGGUGUACUAGAGGGUGAGAGAGAGAAGUGGAAUUCCUGGAGUAGCGGUAAAAUGCGUGGAUCUCAGGAGGAACACCAAUGGCGAAGGCAGCUUCUUGGCUCAUUCCUGACGUUGAGGCACGAAAGCGUGGGAGCAAACA